rnacentral:rRNA from 1 species
UACAGAGGGUGCGAGCGUUAAUCGGAUUUACUGGGCGUAAAGCGUGCGUAGGCGGCUGAUUAAGCCGGAUGUGAAAUCCCUGAGCUUAACUUAGGAAUUGCAUUCGAUACUGGUCAACUAGAGUAUGGGAGAGGAUGGUAGAAUUCCAGGUGUAGCGGUGAAAUGCGUAGAGAUCUGGAGGAAUACCGAUGGCGAAGGCAGCCAUCUGGCCUAAUACUGACGCUGAGGUACGAAAGCAUGGGGAGCAAACAGGAUUAGAUACCCUGGUAGUCCAUGCCGUAAACGAUGUCUACUAGCCGUUGGGGCCUUUGAGGCUUUAGUGGCGCAGCUAACGCGAUAAGUAGACCGCCUGGGGAGUACGGCCGCAAGGUUAAA